ACUGUUCCCAUUCCUCUCCGCCCCCUAACGCCACCCACGCCUCCCCCCUCCGCCUACCCCUUCCUUGGCAGAUCCGCCUAUGCCGCCCUCAAGGGCCCGUGCCCUACCACAUCUGCGCUGCCGCAAGCCCUCUCCCCCGCCGCUGACCGUCGUCGUGAUGACACCGCCGCUCCUCGCCUCCGUCGUCGAGGCUGUCGGCGGGGAGGACCGCAUCGCCGGCCUCCCCGAGGAGCUCCUCGCACUCAUCUUCGGCAUGCUCGGCUCCGGCAACUGCAAGCACUGCUCCUUUGUCUGCUGCCGCUGGCUCGCCAUCAAGGCCGCCUCCCGCCUCCGCCUCGUGCUCGACGCCCGGGUGCCACUCCUUUGACGACGAAGCACUCCCCGCGCUCCUCCACUGGUGCGGCUCGCCGGCCUCCCCGCCACUCCAGGUGUUCCCCCUUCUUCCCUUCACCCCCUCUCCCUCCCCUCUCCCCUCCUCAGAUCCAUCGCUUGCCGCUGCACAGAUCCACCGCCUACUGCUGCUCAGAUCCACCCAUUGCUCCCCUCCCUAGCUAGCUCGAGGACCACCUCCGCAUCCUCCUCCCCCUCAUCCGGGUGCCUCGCCCCCACAGCUACUUCGAGCCCUAUGCCCCGUGGCAGGAGGCGGCGGGACAGCAGCCACACGAGCAGGCAUUGGGGUUGGUGUACGACGCGGCGAGCGGGACGAUGGCCGUGAUUUGUGAGCUCUGUUCCACUGCACGUAGGCAAACCAGUGUAGGUGCGUGAUGCAUGGAGGCAGCUUCUCAAGCACCGUGGUGAAGGCCCACUCACUCCCCUUCGGCCACAGAUGCAGAACCUGCAGAUGGGCGAGGGGAGCUUCUUCUUUGGUGGAGCUUUGUGUCCUUCAACAUUUUAUAAGCAGGAGCCAGGGAGGGUGACAUGUUCAAGUGAUUAUGAGCACGAGCUUGAAUUUGCAUGGCAAUAAACUACUUCGGAGCCGCCGCCGGCUCCUGCUACUUCGGAGCCAAGGGAAUCGAGGGUGUUUUCCGCUCCUGCCUCCAUCUCGAGGACCAUCAAGCACCUCUAUGGCCUCGCUAAAUCUGAGCCCAUUAAGGCUAUGGAUCCGGGGGCAGUCAUCAAAGCUGCACUGGGAAGCCGCAGCAGCGGCUUGGAACCAUUGCCAGACAGUAAGCACAAGCAGCUGUCCAGCAGCGAGCUGCAACCUGCAAGCAUAAGCAGAGCUAUUUGCAAUCGUAUUGUACAUAUACGCAACAUUAAGGUUCUUCACUAACUGAUAUUUGUUUCUACUCACAGUUGUACUAUUUUGUGUUAGCAUUUUUUAGGAAACUUAUGCUAAAUCAACUAGCAUUUUGGUAAAAACUCAUAAGCAUUUUAAUUGGGUUAGUAAUGUCCUUUUACGAUCUCGUAUAGGCAUUUUAAUGUUGGUUCUCAAGAAUAUUCUAUAGAGGCAAUAAUAUUAGUUCCGGUAGGCAAUAAUAUCAGUUUCCAUAAGCAAUAAUAUUGCUCUACCUAGGCAUAACAAUACAAUUUCACAAGAAUUGUGUCUGCGGGUGUUUUAUAAACCGUAGCUUUAAUUUUGAUGUUUCUAUUUGGUAGCUUGCUGAGCCUCCUUUACCAUCAACACCAGGGAACACAUAUAUGUGAUCCUCGUGAUGGCGGUCCACCACUGGGGGGAGAAUGUUGGUACAAUUGCACCCUUGAGGACAUAGCUGGGGAGGAAAAGAAGCGACUGCUCCCGGAAGGCACCGGGACAAACAGUAGUGUGGUUUAGAAAAGCUCUAGCCGUUGAACCUGUCAAGGGCAAUCUGCGGCUCAGUGGGUGCUCAGCUUGUGGUCAUGAUGGAGGUGUGUACAGCUCCCCCAUGCGUAUGUUGAAGUCCUCCAAAAGUGUGUUCAUAAGUUGGUUGAUGUACCUUUCUUUUGUCUGCAAGUUUCUUCAGCAGAUCAACACUAUAACAUGCUCUACAUCUAUUUGGUGUGUGGUGAUCAGAAAGUUCAUCAGAUCAUCAUCGGCAACAGUUUAGUUGCCACCUCAACCUAGCUUGAUUUUAUUCAUGUGUAACUUGAUAUUAGUUGUAGUACCUCCAAUCUUUUUGUUUGGUGGUAGUUUUAAUCAUCGGAUGUAAUCAGCAGUACAACAGUUGAGGCAAUCAUGAUUUGUAUGUGGUAGUAGUUUUGAAACUAUGUGAAUAUUUGGAAUUUAGAUGAGGUGAAACUUUGUAAAUGUUCUAAUUUGCUUUCA